UACGAGUGCUCCAAGCGUUAUCCGGAAUUAUUGGGCGUAAAGGGUGUGUAGGUGGUCGUGUUAGUCUUCUGUUAAAUUCUUCGGCUUAACCGGGGGCAUGCGGAGGAAACGGCACGACUAGAGGGUGCGAGAGGCAUGCGGAACUCAUGGUGUAGGGGUGAAAUUCGUAGAUAUUCGGAAGAACACCAGUGGCGAAGGCGACUUACUGGACACAUAUUGACGCUGAGGUGCGAAAGCGUGGAGAGCAAACAGG
rnacentral:rRNA from 1 species